rnacentral:rRNA from 1 species
UACGUAGGGGGCAAGCGUUGUCCGGAUUUAUUGGGCGUAAAAAGCGUGUAGGCGGCUUUACAGGUCCGUUGUGAAAACUCGAGGCUCAACCUCGAGACGCCGGUGGAAACCGUAAAGCUAGAGUCCGGAAGAGGAGAGUGGAAUUCCUGGUGUAGCGGUGAAAUGCGCAGAUAUCAGGAAGAACACCCGUGGCGAAGGCGGCUCUCUGGGACGGUACUGACGCUGAGACGCGAAAGCGUGGGGAGCGAACAGG